GCCUCAUGCCUGAAAGGGCGACGCCGCAAGGUGGAGCGAGAAGUCAGCAGAGGCCAUAGUAGGUGCGUUAUGACCGAAGGGC
rnacentral:ncRNA from 1 species